ACGCAUCAGCGUUUCUACUGUUGGUUUUGAAAUCCAGCUCUCAUUCCAGAAACGACGGCAGGCGGUUGGUAUCGCUUCUGGACCUCUCUUCAAUUAGACGACGAAUAACAACAUUGUUUUGGAGUUUUUCGAAGACAUAUCAAGCCUGUCCAGAUCUGACCAUGAAGACUGAGGAAAGUAGCCAGGCCCACCAGGCUCGUCUCAGUGAGGGAAUGCGGCUCAUUUUUGACCAAGAGACCAGCUCCUCACGCUCAACUAGUCGCAGCAGCAGCCCAGACAGUUCCUACUCCAGCAGCAGCGGCUCCUCCUAUAGGUCAGACGAGUCACGGCGUUCGCGCCGCCGACAUCGCCGCAGGUCCCGUUCUUCCACCUCUGACAGCAGUUCCUCAUCAGACAGCCGCUCCCGCACGCGUUCCCGCUCUCACCCACGCUGUCACCGUGCUUCAGAUCGCUCCCGCUGUCGACACCGCUCUCCUCCCCGUCGCUACCGGGCCUGCUCAAGGUCCUUCAGUCCCUCACCAUAUCGCUCAUCCCGUCAUGGACGCAGGCACAGGGCAUACUCCCGCUCCAGCAGCCGUUCUUCUUCACGUGGCCGCUACUCCAGGUGCUGGCGUAGGUCUCGCUCUCGGUCCUCCAGCUACAGGGGAGUAACUAGCAGGUUUGUGGGGAGGUACAGGUGCAGAUUCUCCCCCUCACCAAGAAGGCGCUAUAGAGACCACAGGAGCAGGUCAAGAUCUCCAGAAGGGUCUGCUGUUCGGCUUAGCAAGAGAGAAAAAAUGGAUCUCCUGAACAUUGCCAAAGAGAAUGCAACAAAAAUUCUUGGUGUACAGAACCUGGAGCUGCCUUCCAGUGUGAUGACUAUGGAGCAACAAACAAAGCAGCAAGAAAAGAAACCAGAGCCUAACACUGAAGAAUGGGUGAGAGCAGACCCAGUGUCACUGAAGAAACCAGCAGAGGUGGGUGUUAGAAACUCGCACGUACAACCUUAUGUAACUAGGAGUCAGUGAUAUGAAGCUAAUCUAUAAUGUAGUAAAUACCAUUCCUUCUUCAAAGAGGUACCUGCUUUGGAGAAAGCUUUUUAAGUUAACUGAUAGAGUUAACACAAGUGUACAUUAUCCUGUAAUUUGCAUGCUUGUAAAGAGGGUUGUUUAACUUUUGGUUUCCAUUGGAUUUCAUGAAAAUAGUGUGAUUUAUGCUCUGUUUAAACCAACCUGGGUCAUCGUGUAAAUUAUUUCCUCAGAGAUAAUUGUUUUUGGCUGAUGGAUAUAAUGGAAACGUGAUGAAGGCAAAAAUAUAGACCACCAACAGCUACAUACUGUCAUGACCGGAUUAGAUCACAUGACAGUGGUCUGCACUCCUCCAACCCUUGGAGUAGGAGAUCAUUUGAGUGACAACAUUGGGUUUUCAAGAAGGUUUAAAAGCUUAUAUUGCAGAAAGGUCAAGUAACAUCGGUGCAAAUAUUUCUAGAUGUAGAAUUUCAUCACAUUUGCUACACAAAAAAAAAGAUUGACUGUUAUAAAGCAUUUAUUAAUAUCAUAUACAUAUUUGGGACAUCUCAGCGCAUACACUAUAAUAUAUACUAUAGACUUUCAUCACAAUUAGAGCUGCAGGAUUAUGAUAAUGUUAACUUGCUUAUGGUUGAACUGGGUACGUUGUUAUUUACCAGAGUCUUCCUCGAAUCCGUGUGUCUGAAGAAACUCAGGCGUACGGACUGGCUUUUAGUGGCCCUUAUUUCAGAAGAACAGCCCCUCUCCCCUCUGUCCUCGUAUACCAAAGACAAGUCUGCGCCCAGAGCGCUGGAUGGGGGUUUGGAAAAAAUUACAUUUACUGCAUCUUCAUCAUUCCACUCAGAGAAGGAUUCUUUGACUUUUAUUUAUAUUUUUUUUUGCAUUAAUGCAUUUUAUACUUUCUGUAUUGAUUAGAAUUUGUCUUUGUCUCUGUCAGCUGUACAAACUGUUGGAGAUAUAGACAGAACAGUUUCAGACUCAGGCCGUCUUUAAGUCAGCCUGUUUUCUUUAAAUGUUUUUCUUGCAUGUACAGAAGGUUUUGUUAGAAAAUGGAUA